rnacentral:lncRNA from 1 species
GACAUUUCGCAAUUUCUCUUCGAGGGUUAUUUUUGUCUUAAAAUAUUCUUUCUUUAAAGUAUUUUUAUGGUCUCUCCAUCUUUUUCCCAAUGCCUUCUUGACAUAAUUAUCCGAGACCUCUGAAGCAAACCUCUCUUACAAAAAACACAAGUUUAGAAAGUAAAUAUAAAUGAAACUUAAACCAAAGUAUUAUAAAUUAC